rnacentral:rRNA from 1 species
AGAACGAACGCUGGCGGCAUGCCUAAUACAUGCAAGUCGAACGAACUCUUCGGAGUUAGUGGCGCACGGGUGCGUAACGCGUGGGAAUCUGCCCUUGGGUUCGGAAUAACAGUUGGAAACGACUGCUAAUACCGGAUGAUGACGAAAGUCCAAAGAUUUAUCGCCCAGGGAUGAGCCCGCGUAGGAUUAGCUAGUUGGUGAGGUAAAGGCUCACGAGGCGACGACUCCUAGCGUGGUCUGAGAGGAUAGAUCACGACCACACGUGGACGUGACGACCGACCGCC